GUGGGGAAUAUUGGACAAUGGGCGCAAGCCUGAUCCAGCCAUGCCGCGUGAGUGAUGAAGGCCCUAGGGUUGUAAAGCUCUUUCACCGGAGAAGAUAAUGACGGUAUCCGGAGAAGAAGCCCCGGCUAACUUCGUGCCAGCAGCCGCGGUAAUACGAAGGGGGCUAGCGUUGUUCGGAAUUACUGGGCGUAAAGCGCACGUAGGCGGAUAUUUAAGUCAGGGGUGAAAUCCCGGAGCUCAACUCCGGAACUGCCUUUGAUACUGGGUAUCUCGAGUAUGGAAGAGGUGAGUGGAAUUCCGAGUGUAGAGGUGAAAUUCGUAGAUAUUCGGAGGAACACCAGUGGCGAAGGCGGCUCACUGGUCCAUUACUGACGCUGAGGCGCGAAAGCGUGGGGAGCAAACAGGAUUAGAUACCCGAGUAGUCC
rnacentral:rRNA from 1 species